AGACAUUAAUCUUAAGUAUCCAGGGAGCCCUAAAACAUUGUAUCCCACUAGCAAGGACCAUGGUAAUUGCCACGUAAAUCCCCUCCAUUAUGUGGCCCUUAUUAUGACCAGCCAGCCAAGGCUUGCCUUUAAAUCAUACCAAUUGAACCGAGCCUUGUAGAAACACUAUCACCUACGCAUACCUCUGCUUCUUUUCAUUAACCUGCUAUCCUCUUUACAAAUGGGAUUCUUCACCCACUCCCUUCUUCUAGAUUAGCAAUGCCCUGUUAAGUAAACGAACACGAAAUUCAAAGGGAAACAGGAGCAAUCAUCAUUACCAGCUGCCGUGUUAAGCAUUGCGAAAACGCUCACGAUUCACAGAAAAAUCCAUGCUGUUCUUUGAAGGCAUUCAAGCCUUAAUAGCUAGCUGGAUGAAUGUUUAACUUCUAGGCCAGGCACUACUCUGUCCCAACAAUAAGCCCUGUACAUUGGGAAAGGUGCCGAGACAUGAACUUUGGUCUUCUCUGCAAUCCAUCUGGAGCAUUCACUGACAACAUCGACUUUGAAGUUGCACUGACCUGGCCAGCCCUGCCACUUACCAGGUUGGGCUGUGGCUUGCCUUUUCACUUCUUGUGUCCUGUUUAAGAAAUAUCUGCUAUCCCAAGCAUCUGGCAUCUUUCUUGACAUAUGUAGCAGUUGCUUUUUGACAGCUUGCUUCUUCAGUGAAUGAAUAAAUUAAUAAAGAGAAAUGUGAUGUUCAGUGAUCCAUUUUGCAGAUUGCAAACUCCUAGAGAAGGGCUCAACAGUGAGUGCUGAGGCUGCACAGAGGAGGAAGGCAGCACAAUGAUGGAAGGCUUCCUAAAGAGAUAACACUAACAAAGUUGACCUUAGAAUUGGAGUGCCUGGGUUAGAACCCUGCUGGUACCACCUGCUUACUGCAUGCUUCUGAUGUGAGUUCAGGAGAAGACACUGGCAAGGACAGCAAAGAACAGGAGAACACUCUAGCUUCCCUGAUAGCAUUCAAGGUGCUGUCCAAACUGACUGUGAUGGCACCCUCCAGACAGACAGCGAUGCCACAUGUUCAAGAUGGCAGAAUCACUAUCAGCUUCAAUUCCUGAAUGACUGCAGAGCAAAAUUUCUUACCUGCAACAUACACUCUAUUUUCAGCCUCCCUGGACUGUUACAUAAUGAUACAUAAAAAUAUUUCUUGUGUUGAGGCAUCCCAAAUUUGAUUUAUUUGUCAUCACAGUCUAUCCUAUGAAUAUAUUUCUGAUCCAAAUAAUGCUAGAUUCAUGAGAGUUUAUAGUCCAGAGAUUUUUUUUUUUUUUUUGAGACAGAAUCUGUCUCCCAGGCUGGGGUGCAGUGGCAUAAUCUUAGCUCACUGCAACCUCUGCCUCCCGGGCUCAAGUGAUCCUCCCUCCUUAGCCUCCAUGAGUAGCUGGGACCACAGGUGUGCACCACCACACCCCGCUAAUUAUUUUGUAUUUUUUGCAGAGGGGGGUUUCACCACAUUGCCCAAGCUGGUCUCAAACUCCUAGACUUAAGGGAUCUGCCUGCCUUGGCCUCCCAAAAUGCUGAAAUUACACUUGUUAGCCAUAGUAAUAGUUCCUAGCCAUAGUCCGGAGAUAUUUUAAAAACUUUAGUGUGAGUUAUUUCUCUUUGCUAUAAUUCUCUCAUGCAUUUUGAAAACCUUUUCUGCCAUACAGUGGUUUUUGGGAAGUCCUUUUGGACAGACAUAUCACAGGAUGGAGAAACUAAAAAGAGAGAAUGCAUUAAAGAAAAAAUAGUACUUCGUAUUUCAGAAAUUACAAAAGGGUGUCAUGCCCCACAGCAUGGUGGGCAGUCAUUUGUAACCCACAGAACAUUGAGUUUCUAAAAUUUGAGUGUUUUUAACUUACGAAGGCCAACUUUACUGAUGAAGUGAUUACCCCAAAUAUGUGAAAUCCAUAUUUCAAGUACAAUAGUAGGAAAUUGGAAAUGGGCUCUUGAGUUUCUGCUUUCAAGUGACCCUCAGAAAUUCCUCCAUUCACUGCAGAGGUUCUGUUUCUCCUUGCUUUGUUCUGACUUUACGGCAGAACUAAGCUAAUGAGUUAGUUACUAUGGGUUAUCACUUGGAUUUGAAGAACCAUCAUUUCUAGGCAUUGCUGCUCAGAGUGACCUUGCCAUCGUAUCCCCUUUUGGAGACACAAGCCAGGAAGGAAGCUCUUCAGUGCAGCUGUGAAUAGAGAAAUGCUGGCUGAGGUUUUGGAGACACUGGGUGAUCAUUCCCAGUGAAAUUUUUAGAUCCCUGGGGACAUGAGCUGCUUUGUCUUUUCCAAGGCUGAAAAAGUUUUGGAAGCCCUCCUAAGCAGGUGCCAGACCCUUUUUUGGCCAGAGACAGGAUCUUACGCUGUUGCCCAGGCUGGAGUGCAAUAGUGUCAUCAUGGCUCACUGUAGCCUGGAACUGCUGGGCUCAAGGGAUCCUCCCAGCUCAGCCUCCCAAGUAGCUAGGAGUAAAGUCUGGAGAACACUUUUUCUUUUGAGCUGUUUACAACCUUUAGCAAUUGAGUAGAGUGUACUCUUGUCAAUAGAAUUUGAAGCACAUUUCUCUCUCUGCCUGAUUUCUGUAGAAUUUGUAAACUAUUUGUGAAUAUUCUUAAUUUAUGGCAAUAUGGUUGCUUACAUAAGUUCAAUAAUAAUCUGUUUUCUUUUACAAUGAGACACAGUUGGAGGAACUGGUUAUUUUCCCAGGGCUUUGACUGAAAUGGCCUUGUGAAUGGUUCCAGGAAAGCCAAUUUUGGAGACCCUAUGUGGAUGAUGAUGCUUGCUGUACUUUCUGUGGGUAAUCGGGCCAAGUAUAUGGGACUGAAGCUAAUUUUGCAGGUGAGAAAAUGGAGGUCCAGAGAGAAAAGUGACUCACCCAAGCUGAAAACAGUUGCAGGAAGAAAAGCCAGGACAGAACUGGGCUGUUAGAAACCUUGGAGUACACUAAAGAUGAGGAACUGAGUCACCGCAAUGCCAAAUGUAACACGCUGUGGGUCAAAAUUUGGAUGGUUGCGUUGGAAAUUAUUCUGAAGCCACAGACAGGGCUAAAAGAGUCUAGAAUGUCCUACUAGCUGUUGGAACCUGCUGGAGUUCUAAAGGCAUGCGAUGUCCUGAAUGUGCUUGACCAAUGGACACAGCAGGUAUUUGAAGAGUUUUGAUGCUUCCUUUCUGUUUUCAGUGCUAUUUUUUUGCUUUAUUUCUUUUAAAAAACUUUCCCCACAGAGGCUAUUUAUUACACAGCAGCAGCCAGCAUGCACCAAGCAGAACUGCUUUUCAUAAUAAACCUAUUUAUCUUCUGGCAUGUCAGAAAUUUCUCAAAUUGAUACUUAUAAUAAAUAUGAUUAAUAACACAUUGUA
rnacentral:lncRNA from 1 species